rnacentral:rRNA from 1 species
GGAGGGUGCAAGCGUUGUCCSGGAAUCACUGGGCGUAAAGGGCGCGUAGGCGGCUCAUGAAGGCUGUGGUGAAAGUCCGGGGCUCAACCUCGGAUCGGCCGUGGCGACUCGUGGGCUGGAGCACUGUAGAGGCGGGUGGAAUUCCGGGUGUAGCGGUGGAAUGCGUAGAGAUCCGGAAGAACACCAGUGGCGAAGGCGGCCCGCUGGGCAGUGGCUGACGCUGAAGCGCGACAGCGUGGGGAGCAAACAGGAUUAGAUACCCUGGUAGUCCACGCCGUAAACGAUGGGCACUAGGUGCUUGGGGGAGCGGCCCUCUGAGUGCCGGCGCUAACGCAUUAAGUGCCCCGCCUGGGGAGUACGGCCGCAAGGUUG